CACACAUACCCUUCCCGUCUUUCUCAUGGGGACACAAGCACCCUCCUCCGCGGCUCGAGCACCCACAGGCCCGAAGCGGGGCGGCCACCCGCGCUCCCGACUCCCACGCUUCACAAAGCCUCGCGCAGCCUCACUCACCUCCACUGGCAGUCCACGCGGGCUCCUCGCUACGUCCGCACAGCCUUUUCCGCGGCGACUCAUGAGGACGUCUUCUUCACACGGGGCCACUCACGCGCGGCGCCCAACAAGCAACACCGCCCCGGUCACCGUGAGGCACAGAGCGGAGGGUCGCGAAAGCCCCGAAGCAAAGCGACCCGACCGGCCCGAGCCCCGGAGACUUCUGGGAGUGGCCGCGCGGCCGGGGUGUGCGCAAGCGCAGAGCACCGACCUGCGGGAGGCGGGGACCUGAGGUGAGGGGCGGGGACCUGAGGUGAGGGCCGAGUGCGGCGGUGGUCCAGGCGGAUAGGAGGUGAAGCUGGAUUCCUCCUCUCCUGUUGAAUGUGGGCUGGACUUGACUUACUGGUAAUAAGAAUGGUGAAGCGAAAGUGACUGCCGAGGCUGGAUUACAGCAAGAUCACUUCUGAGAAAAGCCAAUUAUCCUGUCACAAGGACACUCAAGCAGCACAUGGAGAGGAAGUAACUUGCCAGGAUGAAGCUAUCAGCCACAAAACUAAGCCAUCUUGGAAAGCAGAUCCUCCAACCCUCAUCUAUCCCUUCAAGACCUGCUAUCUCAUGAGAUAAAAUAGAUACCUGGCA